rnacentral:rRNA from 1 species
GGCCAGACUCCUACGGGAGGCAGCAGUGAGGAAUAUUGGUCAAUGGACGCAAGUCUGAACCAGCCAAGUAGCGUGCAGGAUGACGGCCCUCCGGGUUGUAAACUGCUUUUAGUUGGGAAUAAAAGGGGGCUCGUGAGCCCCGUAUUGUAUGUACCAUCAGAAAAAGGACUGGCUAAUUCCGUGCCAGCAGCCGCGGUAAUACGGAAGGUCCGGGCGUUAUCCGGAUUUAUUGGGUUUAAAGGGUGCGUAGGCGGGCUGUUAAGUCAGCGGUCAAAUGUCGGGGCUCAACCCCGGCCUGCCGUUGAAACUGGCGGCCUCGAGUGGGCGAGAAGUAUGCGGAAUGCGUGGUGUAGCGGUGAAAUGCAUAGAUAUCACGCAGAACUCCGAUUGCGAAGGCAGCAUACCGGCGCCCUACUGACGCUGAGGCACGAAAGCGUGGGUAUCGAACAGGAUUAGAUACCCUUGUAC